UAUGUAGGGUGCAAGCGUUAAUCGGAAUUACUGGGCGUAAAGCGUGCGCAGGCGGCUUUGCAAGACAGAUGUGAAAUCCCCGGGCUUAACCUGGGAACUGCAUUUGUGACUGCAUGGCUAGAGUGCGGCAGAGGGGGAUGGAAUUCCGCGUGUAGCAGUGAAAUGCGUAGAUAUCAGGAGGAACACCGAUUGCGAAGGCAGCUCGCUGGGACGUUACUGACGCUGAGACGCGAAAGCGUGGGGAGCAAACAGG
rnacentral:rRNA from 1 species